AGUAGAAACAGCUGAAAGUGAUCACAGGCUGGAGGUGUCAUGUAUGCAACGAGUACGGGCUUGGGAGUGGGAUUUUCCAAGAUUUCAGUCCUCGCUGCCGCAUCGCAACUGGAGACUGAGAUAUUAACCAAAUCAGCUUCCACACUCCACCAAGGCCCACAAGCCGCUGGAGCUGGAUGGCAUGCUUGACAGAGUUGUUGCUCCAGUCCCUUGGCACCAUCCAGACAUUGACCUAAGAAGAUAACCUUGGGGAAUCUGGAGGAUGUCAAUACAGCAUGGUCUGAUGAGAGCUGGGAAAGUCCGUCUUCCCAUCUCCUCCCCUUCUCAGGUUCAAGCCACUCCAGGGCUGACUCACAGAACCAACUUUCUCUCCAGUUGAUCCUUAUGACACAGGAACUUCUGAAGCCUGAAAAUGAUGCUGGAGGAACAAUCAAGCAAUGACUUGGACCUUGAGAUUUCAUCAUGUUUGAAGGCUCUCUGCUUGGUAAUAUUUAUGAGACCAUUAUUCACAGACAGACAACCUUCUUUUAGGUUUUAUUAGACAAUAUUAAGUCCAGAUAAGAGACCAACAGAGGAAUUUGAGAAUGAAAUCUGAAUUCUGAGAGUAUUAUUACUGUUUCUUGAGAAGGAAGAGGAGAAAGGAAGGAAACAUUCAUUGCCACAUGCUAUACCUUGUGCUCAGUCAUUUCACAAAGAUGUCCUUUAUCCUUGAACAAGAUCGGGUUCACAUUAUCAUCUUUGUACACGUGUGAACAGGGACAAGAAAUGUAUUUGUUUCCUUGUUUGAGAUGAUUACCAAUGGGUGCCAGAGGGGCCUAUAGGUGAUUUUAAUUAAAUUGCUUCAAAUUACUUCUCGUUCUUCAAGCAAGAAGACCACUGGAUUCUAUCCAGGUUUUAGCUACCCAGCUUGGGGUGGACUGAGGUUGACCAAAGGAUAAAAGCUGCAAAAUAUAGCAAACUCACCUAGUGACUUUCUCCUUAUAGGACUCAACUCUCCUCUAGAAACCACCUUCUUUUGUUUUCUCCUCACUAUCAUCCAACGAUCAUUUGUAUAUUUCUCCCAGAGUUUUUAGUGGUUGUCCAUGAGAAGAUGUGUCUGAAAGAAGCUACCUGACCACUACAAAAGUAGUUCCAAUUUGUUAGCAAUGUUUGAGGAAAUAUGGGUAAAGUUUCAUGACUGACUUGUAAAUUAAAGGCUGCACUUGGGCCAGGCGUGGUGGCUCAUGCCUAUAAUCCCAGCACUUUGGGAGGCCAAGGUGGACAGAUCACCUGAGGUCAGGAGUUCAAGACCAGCCUGGCCAACAUGGCGAAACCCCGUCUCUACUAAAAAUAAAAAAAUUAGCCAGGCGUGGUGGUGCACACCUGUAAUCCCAGCUACUCGGGAGGCUGAGGCAGGAGAAUUGCUCCAACCCAGGAGGCAGAGGUUGCAGUA
rnacentral:lncRNA from 1 species